UACGGAGGGGACUAGCGUUGUUCGGAAUUACUGGGCGUAAAGCGCACGUAGGCGGAUUCGUAAGUCAGGGGUGAAAUCCCGAGGCUCAACCUCGGAACUGCCUUUGAUACUGCGAAUCUCGAGUCCGGAAGAGGUGAGUGGAAUUCCUAGUGUAGAGGUGAAAUUCGUAGAGAUUAGGAAGAACACCAGUGGCGAAGGCGGCUCACUGGUCCGGUACUGACGAUGAGGUGCGAAAGAGUGGGGAGCAAACAGG
rnacentral:rRNA from 1 species